UACGUAGGGUGCAAGCGUUAUCCGGAAUUAUUGGGCGUAAAGAGCUCGUAGGCGGUUUGUCGCGUCUGCUGUGAAAACUGGAGGCUCAACCUCCAGCCUGCAGUGGGUACGGGCAGACUAGAGUGCGGUAGGGGAGAUUGGAAUUCCUGGUGUAGCGGUGGAAUGCGCAGAUAUCAGGAGGAACACCGAUGGCGAAGGCAGAUCUCUGGGCCGUAACUGACGCUGAGGAGCGAAAGCGUGGGGAGCAAACAGG
rnacentral:rRNA from 1 species